rnacentral:misc_RNA from 1 species
UAAACCAGAGGGAAGGAGCUAGCUGCAGGUAGUUUUUUGCAGCCGUGAGAAUCAAGCAAUCCAUUCAGACAUUUGCUCCCAUUAGUCCUUCGGCUUCAUAGAAAUCACAGCGGUGCCCAGUGCCAGUGAUCUGAACAAUUCUUUCAUUGUGUAACAUAGCAAUCGAUGCCUAGUUUUGCCGCUUGUCGAACGUCCUCAACAGAAAUAUACUUCCCUCGAUAGGUUG